rnacentral:rRNA from 1 species
GUGGGGAAUAUUGGACAAUGGGGGCAACCCUGAUCCAGCAAUGCCGCGUGUGUGAAGAAGGCCUUCGGGUUGUAAAGCACUUUUAUCGGGAACGAAACAUUGUCGGCUAAUACCCGGCAAGACUGACGGUACCCGAGGAAUAAGCACCGGCUAACUCCGUGCCAGCAGCCGCGGUAAUACGGAGGGUGCAAGCGUUAAUCGGAAUUACUGGGCGUAAAGCGUGCGCAGGCGGUUUGUUAAGUCUGUUGUGAAAUCCCCGAGCUCAACUUGGGAAUUGCAAUGGAUACUGGCAAGCUGGAGUAUGGUAGAGGAAGGUGGAAUUCCCGGUGUAGCAGUGAAAUGCGUAGAGAUCGGGAGGAACACCAGUGGCGAAGGCGGCCUUCUGGACCAAUACUGACGCUCAUGCACGAAAGCGUGGGGAGCAAACAGGAUUAGAAACCCCAGUAGUCC